rnacentral:tRNA from 1 species
GGCCACGUCGCAUAGUGGUGAAGUGCACAGACUCUAGGGCUGCAUGGCCUGGGUCCAAAUCCUGGCCUGGCCA